CCCUCUUUGUGUGCACGCCCCCCUCGCCCCGGGCCUCAGGGCAGGAAGCACCUGGUCUGGAGCGGAUGCACAGGGCGCCUGGUUCCGGUCCAGCUUCCGCCACUGUGGCCCCUGGAGAGCUGGGCCAAAGAAACCAGGCGGCGAGGAGGCAGCGGCGCGAAGACACGUGGGGGCUACCGGGCAGGAGCGCCCCACUAUGCGCAAGCCCGUGGCCUGGAGAGCGCUGAAGACUCAACACUCCAGCCAGGCAGGGGCGAACGAUCCCCAGAGGAACAGAUCCCAGUCAUGCAGCUGUAUGGACCAAUACACAAACCACAGGCAAUCGGGA